rnacentral:misc_RNA from 1 species
AUUUUCAGGUACGCAGCGCGCUCGUCUGAUGACGCCUCAAGAUGGCGGAGGAUCGUGAGAGAGAUCAGCUUGUCGCCAUCGCCAAGCGCGAUGCCGCGCACGCCCAUCGAGGUGCGGCCGCUGAACACGCGCACAUCUNGGAAGCGGAUGCACUGCCCGCCGGCGGCGGUCAGCAGCACGUCAUCGUUUUCAGUGGCGAUCUGUACGUCGACGAUGGCCUCACCCUCGUCGAGCUUCAUCGCGAUGAU